rnacentral:rRNA from 1 species
CCUACGGGGCGCAGCAGUGAGGAAUAUUGGUCAAUGGUCGGGAGACUGAACCAGCCAAGCCGCGUGAGGGAGGAAGGUACAGAGUAUCGUAAACCUCUUUUGUCAGGGAACAAAGGCGGGGACGUGUCCCCGGAUGAGUGUACCUGAAGAAAAAGCAUCGGCUAACUCCGUGCCAGCAGCCGCGGUAAUACGUAGGGGGCAAGCGUUAUCCGGAUUUACUGGGUGUAAAGGGAGCGUAGACGGAAUUGCAAGUCUGAUGUGAAAAUCCGGGGCCCAACCCCGGAACUGCAUUGGAAACUGUAUUU